CGGCACCAUGGGGCGCACCCCCGAAGGAGGAUGAGGUUUUCGCGUCGUCCGGUUAAAAUAUGACGCACUGAUAUUUAGUUACUCUCUCCGAUCUUGCUGGGUUGCCCGAAACACAAGAGACGUGGAAACCGCAAAGGUUCGGACCCGCAGGAAGCCAACGAACCGGCCAGCAGUCCCACAGAGGAGGCUACGACGCCCUUAGCGCGCCUUGCCGACAUCUUUGAAGAGUCUGCGUUCCCAUUCGGCGCUCGACGUCGCCUGCCAGAGAGGUUCCGGCCCGGUAGCAAGCAGCAGCCAAUCCGGAGACUUCGCCUGUCCCCGGUUUGUUAAGCGAGACCGCUGUACCUAGGCCCAGACUUGCGACAGAGAGAAAGUCGAGGCCGGGCGGGCUAAAUUCUUUCUUAUGGAUUCCGCAUCCACCAGCGGGGUAAGCGAGGGCGCCUCCAUGGCGCUCCCCUCCCGAGCCCGGAGGCGCAAGAGGAACAGGGCUUCCACGACUCCGGCAAAGCGAAGAACGACAAGACGCACCAGGAGCCGCCUGUCAUCGCGCUCGAGGACCAGAGGUGCCAGCGCCACGACUAGGAGGCCCAGGGCAAGGAAAGCGACGGCAGGGAAGAGCAAGAGGCGAAGGUCUAGGCGCAGCAAGUCCACAACUGCUCGGUCAUCUCCAGUGAAGAACAGGAAAGUCAGGGCGAGCAAGAAACCUGCUACAAAAAGGAGGUCCAGAAAGCGCAAUGUGGCUGGAGAGUCUGGCGUGAAAAAAUCCGCUUUGAAGAGAGCUUCGCGCAACAAGUAACUGUUCCGCCUUUGCAGGCUCGAUCCUGAAGAUUGGAAUAAAGGCAAAAUUCAACCAA